UUCAACUGUGACGUGCGACGGAUCUCACCUGUACAACUGAAAAAUAUAUUCUGGUAAAACACCUGAUACCUUCCAUCAAAACAUGAAAAGAAAUGGAGCAUUGCAAAGAAGAUCGUCCUUUUGCUGUACUGACAAUGCAGUGUACCUCAGUUUGUUAAUUCUACCACAAAGUGAAAGUUUGAGUUAAUUCAUGCAGCCAUGAGGAAGUGUUUGAACUAUCAAACAAUAAACUCUAGAAUGGA